CUAUGGUUACACGUAGGUGGUGUCAUGUUUGCUAAAUUCUCACCAAGGCGAAGCCACGGUAACCGCCACCGUCAUGGUGCCCCCGACGGCCACUGCGAUGCCCGUCUUCCUCUCCGCGGCGCCCCCUCCUUUUUCCACCCGCCGUCGGCGCAGCCGCCUUCCUGCCAUUUCCGCAUCCCUUUCGCCGUCCCCUUCCUCUUCGGAGGAGCCGCUGCUGGUGCGCGCGGCGCGGGGCGAGGACGGCCUCCCACGCCCACCCGCGUGGAUGAUGCGACAGGCAGGGCGGUACAUGGCGGAGUACCAGGCGCUGGCCAAGCGCCACCCCUCGUUCCGGGAGCGCUCCGAGAACACGGACCUCAUCGUCGAGAUCACGCUGCAGCCGUGGCGUGCCUUCGCGCCUGACGGCGUCAUCCUGUUCUCAGACAUACUCACGCCCCUACCGGCCAUCGGGGUACCGUUCGAUAUCUCGGACUCCAAGGGGCCCGUGAUCCAAUCGCCAGUGCGGUCCGAAGGGCAGGUGAGGGAGCUCGUCCCCAUCGACCUUGAUAUGCUCCAGUUCGUCGGAGAGUCACUAAAGAUUCUGCGAAAUGAGAUUGAUGGAAAAGCUGCUUUGCUAGGAUUUGUGGGGGCCCCAUGGACAAUUGCAACUUACAUUGUUGAAGGGGGGAUGACCAACACAUACACAAAUAUAAAGAACAUGUGCCAUACAGCUCCCGAUGUCUUGAGGUGUCUUCUAUCUCAUCUUGCAGAAGCGAUAUCUGACUAUAUCAUUUACCAAGUUAACUCCGGGGCCCAGUGUAUACAGAUAUUUGAUUCAUGGGGUGGACAACUUCCACCUCAUGUGUGGGAGCAGUGGUCAAAACCAUAUAUCAAAAAGAUUGUGAAUAGGAUUAAGAAAGAGUGCCCUCAUGUACCCCUUGUGUUGUAUAUAAAUGGAAAUGGAGGUUUACUUGAGCGCAUGAAGGACACAAGAGUUGAUGUUAUUGGGCUUGACUGGACAGUGGACAUGGCUGAUGGAAGGAAGCGCCUUGGUAAUGGAAUUAGUGUACAAGGGAAUGUGGAUCCAGCAUUUCUGUUCUCACCAUUACCAGUACUGACUGAUGAAAUUCGUAGGUUAGUUAAGACUAAAAAAUUCAUUUAAUUUAUGUUAUUUUGAGUUUUUGGUUAAUGCUCAUGUGCAAUUCAUUAAUGAGAUAACAUAAAACGCUGCCUGAGUAGUAUACAUCUUCAUGUUGGGUAUGAUUGGUUGCCUGCACUAUGAUAAACCUGCAUUACACUCUAUGCAGUGUAACCCCUGUAUGACUUCAUUGCAAUGAGGUGUGUUUAGUUGCUUGCAUAUCCCUUUUUCAUUGUAGGAGGUUGUAUUUGGUUGCUUGCAUUGAGUUGGACGUAGUCACUUCUUUGUUACUGUGGUAGGCCUAAACUCCAUCACUCUUCUUCAACCUCCAUCUCGCUCAUCCUUUCUGCCGUUCCAGGUCAUAUGACAUUAACAUCAUUGUCACCUCUGUCCCCAAAAUCCAAAGCGACAGGCCUUCCUUUCUCCUGCUCUCUCUGCUCCUCCUACUAAUCACAAAUCGUCUCCUUGGAAAACAAUUCAUCUUCUCAUGGCCAGCAGUCAGCCCAAAUUUGACACUUGUCCAAUUGACUGAAGCUGCAAUUGAGUUCCUUCUCAGCGUUAUUUGAAUCCCCAAUCUGUGUAUUUCUUUUUAAUUCGCCUUCUCACGGCCUAGAGAUGGAUUAAAAUAAUAUUGAUUCCCUACUCCGCACUUUUUCGGCUUGGAUAUAUGAUCCUGAUAGAGAAGGUAUGCCCCACAAAUAAUAGUUGUAUCGCAUUGAGCCUCAUGAUAGGCUUAUGCACCACCAGUCAGUUCCGUCAUGUAUUUGUAUUACACCGUAAUAAUUCACAACAAUGAUCUCAAUAGUGAUCAAUCUUUGAUCGUUAAGCUCAGCUGUACAGUUUGCAAAGCUCAUCUCAUUUCUGAUUCAAACAUUCAGUUGUGUACCAAAAUAUCCCUUGUGUAUUCAGGAAAAAGCUUGUGAACUAAUCACCAAAUUACUAAUGGAUAUUGGUCCUUAGGUCUAUUGAGCUACUGACUGAAGAACAGGGAAUAAAUGAUUACGUCACACGAUCUUAGGGUGUCGCUGUAUCUUUCUGCAUGUUUUCAGUAAUAUCGUGAAACAUGUAUAGCAUCAUUAAGCCUUACUGUUUGUUUUAUGUUGCAUGGGGGUGGUAAUGGUUGGUGCACAAGCAUAAAUGGGCUUUACCUCCAGUCAUUACAUUCCAAUUUCCUUUUUAGGAUUAGUUGCUAUGUGUUAAGGCCCAUAUGCCUAUAUAUAUGCUACAGUACCCGAGGGGGGCUCUUAUCUCGCCUAAUCAAGGUUAGUCACAUGGUAACAGAGCAGGUUAGGGUUUACAUCUAAACCCGACUCUGAUCCAAAUUUUUGGCGCCGUCGCUGUGCUGCCAUCGCGGCCAGCUCUCCGGCCUGCCGUCGCGGCCACCCCCUUCCCUCCUCUGCCGCCGUCGCGAUCCAUCCUCUGCGGUCUUCCCCUUCCUUCAUCCCGCCGCCAGGGACCAGAUCUCGGCCUGCCGUCCGCCGCCAGGGAUCUCGGCCGCGCUGCCGCCAGCUCGGCCGCCGCCUUCUUCAUCGAUCCGCCGUCAGCCAGGGGCGGAUCUUCCUCUCUCACUUCACCGUCCGCCGCUAGGGAUCUCGGCCGCGCAGCCCGCCUUCUUCAUCAAUCCGCCAUCAGCCAGGGGCGGAUCUCCCUCUCUCCGUCAGCCAGGGGCAGCGCGCCUUCUGCCGGGGGUCCUCUACCAGGGGCAGAGCGCCGUCCUCCCUAGGGGCAGCGCGCCUUCUGCUGCCAGGGGUCCUCUGCCAGGGGCAGAGCGCCGUCCGCUACAUCGAUCCGCCGCCAGGGGCGGAUUUCUAUCUCUGCCUGCGCCGUUCCGCCGCCUGGGACAAGUUCCGCGGAUUCCCGCCAGCCGUCGUUGCGCGCAGGGCCGUGGAUCCGCUGCUCCCGCCGGAAAUCUGCACAAACCGCCGCCGUUGCGGACAGGCCUGCGGAUCUGUGACGUCGCUGCUCCCGCCAGCCGCUGUUCAACUCGGCUCCGCGCCCAGGACCCCCGUCAACUCGUCCAACUCGGGUUGCUCUGGUUUGUUUGGUCUCAGGUCUCCUGUUCUCCUUGAUUUUUGAUUCAAUUCAAUAUGGCGACAAAUGCUAUUGUGGUCAAUAUCACUCUUGAUGGUCAAAAUUAUCCGGAGUGGGCUUUCUGUGUUGAGACUGCACUCCGGGGACAUGGAUUACUCUUCCAUUUGACCGAUGCGGCACCUGUUCUUGCUAACGAUCGUCGCAAUGCUGCUGAUAUCAAAACAUGGCAGCUUAAUGAUGGUAAAGUGAUGGCUGCUAUGGUGAACAGCGUCAAACCGUCUAUGAUUAUGAGUUUGUCUAAAUUCAAAAUUGCUAAAGCCAUCUGGUCUCAUUUGAAGGAGCGUUUUGUUCAGGACAGUGGUGCUCUAUUACACACUCUCAUGCAGCAGACACAUGUUAUUGAGCAAAAUGAUAUGAGUAUUGAUGAGUACUAUUCAGCCUUUGAUCGCCUGAUGAGUGCUUUGACAUCAAUGGUGCCUGCUUGUACCACUGAUCCGUGUCCGGCUCAUAAGUUUAUUAAGAAGUUCUUCACUUACAGAUUUGUUAUGGGCGUUCGGGCCAAGUUUGAUUCUCUUCGUGCUCGUUUACUUCAGGGUUCUGACACUCUCACAAUGGCUAAGGCGUUGUUUGAUUUACUUGCUGAAGAGACUCGUCUUAAUUCUCUGUCCUCUACUGGUGGUAAUCCUCACAGUGUGUUGGCUGCUGCCCAGAAACCUAAGAAUAUUUUAAGCCUUGUGAUCAUUGUGGCAAGACCAAUCAUCGAUCUGAGCUUUGCUUUGUCAAGUUCCCUGAUAAGUUGACCGAUUUCCAUGCACGACGUGCUGCUCGUGGUCGUGGUCCAGGACCAUCUAAUAGAGGCUUAGUUACUAUUGCUGCCACUUCGUCCGCCUGUACUGCAGAGUCGGCCUGGGUACUUGAUUGAGGAGCUUCCUUUCAUGUCACAUCUGAUCAGUCAAAGUUGGCUUCUACUACACCUGUAACAGAUGGUGCUUCAGUGCAGACAGCUGAUGGACCUUCGUACAGGGGAAGUGAUUGGGACUGGCCGUCGCUGUAGAGCUGCUCCUCGCCUCUACAUCUUGGACACUUUGCGGCUUCCCUCCUUGGCUACGUCUCUAGCGCAUGUGCUUUCAGGGGUAUCAUCUUCGUGAUCGUGGCACUAUUGCAGCUCCAGAACGUUAUGGGUUUUCUCGUGCUGGUGCAGUCAUUGCUGAACCAUCAUCUUAUAAAGAGGCUUCUGGUAUACUUGAGUGGCAGCUUGCUAUGACUGAUGAAUUAAAUGCCCUUCAUCGCACAUGUACAUGGGAUGUUGUUCUGUUACCUGCUGGUGUUGUACCUAUCACCUGCAAAUGGGUCUUCAAGGUUAAAACCAAAUCUGAUGGGUCUAUUGAGCGAUAUAAAGCUCGUCUAGUGGCCAGAGGUUUUCAACAGACACAGGGUAUUGACUAUGAUGAGACUUUUGCACCUGUGGCCCAUCUGACUAUUGUCCGAGCUUUACUUGCUGUUGCGGCCUCCUUUUCUUGGACUAUCUCUCAGAUGGAUGUCAAAAAUGCUUUUCUUCAUGGUGAUUUACAUGAGAAAGUCUAUAUGCAUCCACCUCCUGGGAUAGAGGUUCCAUUAGGGCAUUGUAUGUCGUCUCCGUCGAGCCUUGUAUGGUCUCAAACAAGCUCCUCGUGCUUGGUUUGAGAGAUUUGUUUCUGUCAUCAAGGCUUGUGGUUUCUAUUCUAGUGAUCAUGAUCCUGCAUUGUUCAUUCAUGUUUCUUCACGAGGACGCAUGUUGCUAUUACUAUAUGUUGAUGACAUGUUGAUUACAGGCGAUGAUCCAGACCAUAUUGCUCAUGUGAAGGCGUCUCUGAGUAAGGAAUUUCAAAUGUCAGAUUUGGGGGCACUCAGUUAUUUCUUGGGCAUUGAGGUUUUGCAGACUCAAAAUGGUAUUUAUCUUUCUCAGGCCAAGUACAUACAAGAUCUUCUUGAUCGUUCCGGUCUUAGUGAUACUCGCACUGUUGCCACGCCUAUGGAUCUUCACUUAUCUCUCCGUCCGACUGAUGGGACACCUUUGGAGGAUCCAUCUCAAUAUAGACAUCUUGUUGGCAGCUUAGUUUACCUUACUGUCACCAGGCCAGAUAUUGCUCAUGCGGUUCAGAUCUUGAGUCAAUUUGUCUCUGCUCCUACAUCAGUUCAUUAUGAGCACUUACUUCGUGUGCUUAGAUAUUUACGGGGGACAAAAACACAAUGUUUAUUUUAUGAUUCAAAUUCCCCACUUCAGCUUCAUGCUUACUCUGAUGCUACCUGGGCCAGUGAUCCUACAGACCGUCGCUCCAUCACUGGUUACUGUAUUCUUCUUGGAUCAUCCCCUGUUGCUUGGAAAUCCCAGAAGCAAGUUGCUGUAUCUAGAUCUAGUACUGAAGCAGAACUUCGAGCCCUGGCUACUACUACUGCUGAGAUUAUCUGGAUUCGUUGGCUCUUGGCUGAUCUAGGCGUUUCUUGUGACUCGUCUACACUUCUUCGCCGUGACAAUAUUGGAGCUAUACAAAUUUGUCAUGAUCCAGUGAAGCGUGAACUCACAAAACACAUUGGUGUUGAUGUCUCAUUCACUAGAUCUCAUUGUCAUCAGAAGACCAUUGAUCUUCAAUAUGUGCCCUCAGAAUUACAGCUUGCGGAUUUCUUCAUAAAAGCACAAAAUAGGGCACAACAUCAGUUUUAUCUAAUCAAACUCAAUGCUUCAAAUCCUCCACUUCCGCCUUGAGUUUGACAGGGGGUGUUAAGGCCCAUAUGCCUAUAUAUAUGCUACAGUACCCGAGGGCGCUCUUAUCUCGCCUAAUCAAGUUUAGUCACACUAUGAACUGCUAAUGAUUUUUUUGGUCUCUUACUGCCUGCUCUGCAGGGUUGUGAAAGCAGCUGGUACAAAAGGUCAUAUACUUAACUUGGGCCACGGUGUACUUCAGAAAACACCCGAAGAAGCUGUAGCACAUUUCUUUGAUGUCACAAGGAGCUUGAGAUAUGACACCCAUUUCCAAGGUUCUGUUGCUGAAGGAUUGCAGCCUGUUGCUUGAUUCGUAGUGUUGUCUGCAUUCUACCUUUUUAAGACAUACUCAUUAUUGAAGCCUGGAUAUGUCCUGUGGAGAUAUCGGCAGCAAAUUAAAUGUAAUUUUAUUCAUUGUUUAUCUGUUAGUUUUAUUCAUUGUUUAUCUGUUCCAUUAUUCAUGUGACUGAAGAAGGGAUGCAUGAUGCAUGCAACCUGGUUUCGUAGGAGAGCCGGGCUACAGGCACAGUCCGCUUCAGCGGCGCCUGUGGCUGUUCAAAUCAGAGCUGCUAUAAUUCCUGUGAAACCGUCCAGUCUCGGUGCCUUCUCCGAGGGGAGUUCUUCUAGGUGUUUAGUUGGUUUUACUAACUAAAGUUUUGUAUCGAAUGGUUGAAUAAUAAUUAUAAGGAUUACUAGUUGGAUGCCCGUACGUUGCUACGGUUCCAACUAAUCAUGCUUAAACAUUUUUGCU